AACGUAGGAGACAAACGUUAUCCGGAGUUACUGGGCGUAAAGGGCGUGUAGGCGGUUUGUUAAGUCUGGCGUGAAAGCUCUCGGCUAAACCGGGAGAGGUCGUUGGAUACUGGCAAACUAGAGGACGGUAGAGGCGUGUGGAAUUCCGGGUGUAGUGGUGAAAUGCGUAGAGAUCCGGAGGAACACCAGUGGCGAAGGCGACACGCUGGGCCGUACCUGACACUGAUGCGCGACAGCAUGGGGAGCAAACAGG
rnacentral:rRNA from 1 species